rnacentral:lncRNA from 1 species
GCACAACCGCUAAGAAAGGAAAGCUUCCACAAGGUGAGAUGGUACCAUCACUCUUCAAGUAAGGUAACACCUUAAGGUACUUGACUAUCACUUUUAUAAGCUUCUCCUUGGUUCUGGCGUUCACAUAAAUAAAGAGACAAACAUGUAUGAUUUAUAACUCCAAAUUAACCAACCCAACUGAUUCAGCAUGUUUAGUCCUUUAAUCUUUGUUCCUAGUACUACCUCCAUGAUCCCACACUCCUAACCAUAUGAGCUAAAAUGUUGCACAUUUAAUCUUUGGGAAGAUAUAAAGAAAAAGGCAUAUAUAUAGAUAGAUUAUCUUUCCAUUAGGUUGAGCGAUCUGAUCUGGCAAAUGUUUUAAAUGCUACACUCAUGAACUUAUCAUUCAUCAACUUUGUCUUGCUCACCAUGCUUAAGGUUAGAGAAGAACAAAUACACUUUUGGUUUUGUUGGUGUUUUCCACCAACAGGGCCCAUGCACUUGAUCUCUGCCUUGUCUCUAUGAGCAGGUACACUACGAGCACAAACACACUGAGCAAGAUACUGCCAACACCGCACUUCGAACUACUGGGCAAACGAAGAACAUGGGUGACACCGUAUUAAGAGGUUCAAACGUCAAGGUCCACACCUGAAUCAAAUGACGCACCUGAAGAAUGAACACGGUGAGAAGUCUUGUUCAGAAGACUUAAAACAUCGAAUCCUCGCCGAAAGGUAAAAUCGGUAGUUAUCCAUAUUUAUCCUUUCUGCAUUCCCUUUUCCCUUUAAUUACUUACUUUCCUUAAAUAGCUUAUUAAUUAAUCAUGCUAUCUUGAAAAGAAAAUAAAAAUGUUAAAAAUACUAAGCCCCAUGUGAGUAUGCUCGUGGCAUAAAACCCAUAAGUACAUUCACUGUGGUGGCGUAAAAAUAAAUAUAUUCCUGUCCUAUUGAAAUGAAAAUAUAAAAAUAAAAUUAUGAUCCUACCAAAGAGAGUAAUAUUUAUUAGAGGAAGCUCAACAUGAUAAUGACAAAGAGAUUUUAUGCUAACACUUAACCAGUUCCACAAAGCUUUGUUGUCUAUUUGAGCCCCACAGAAUUCAAGGAUCAAAGAAGACUAGCAGACGGAGGACAUUCUAAUCGCUGUCAGGGUGCUGCCGACAAUCAAAUACACCUCCGCCACCUGCUAGCUACAUCAGAAGAAAUUACGUCAAAAUCUAGCUUAGGGGAGAGCACCCCCAUUUAUCGAGCUAAGUGUUUCUACGCAUGUUUAUACUUUACUAAAAUAAUAAAAAGAUGCAUAACCAUAAAAACCCAAAUAAAGAUUUUAUGCUUAUAUAUAUAUAUCUAUGCUUAGUUUGCUAAAUAAAUAAAUAAAUAAAGUUUGCUAUGAACCCUCAUGAUAAGCUCUCACAUGGAAAUGAUGAAUAGUUUCUCUACCAUGACUAGUUCUCAAAAUUGAAAUCUCUCUCAAGUUUAGGCAUGACUGUUAUGAAUUAAGAUCUGCUCUAAACCUAAACUUGUGGGAAGAGUACAUGACCUAAAGUCUAAGUCGUUAACGGAUAUGAUAUGGGAAGGUUGAGUUGCUGUUUAUCUGUUCCUAGAGAUGCUAGAAUUCUAGAGAAUUUUAUCUUUGAAAAUCUUUAAAAAUAUUGCAUGAUGAGUUCCUGUAUGAUGAGAGUUUAAAAUCCUACCACAGCUAUAUAUACAUGCUUGCUAGACUAUGAACCAUACAUUUACUUUUUACUGCUUAUGAGCAUUAAGUGUGGUCAAGCUGUGUAGACCCUUAGGAGCUUGUCAUGCGGUUAAAAUCAAGAUUCACUUGCACCUUCACUCAUACAUGCUGCUUCUACUCCAGAAGUACGCAUCCAUAUACAUCCACUCAUUUCCAUCUCCAGAUUUACCUAAAAUUAUUCUACUCCUAUCCAGGAGAGAAUAGCCAAAAACAUUAUCCUAUCUCUGUUAUUCCCCGUGAAAUAAAUGCUCUUGAUAUUUUGGUUACUACCACUUGCUAUAUUAUUCUAGGAGGCUGAGUGCUCUGAAAAAAAGAGAAAAAAAAAAUAAUACGAGGAAAUAAAAGGGGCAAGUGCCCGGAACCUCGAAAGAAAAAAGAAAAAGUGAGACGAGAGGUAAAAAUAGACAAGUGUCCGACAAUAGAAUUAGGGGUACAAGAUACCCACCUGAGAGAAAAGAAAAAGAAAAUAUAGAGCAUCUCAUUCCUCUCAAAAACUUUCAAAGUGCAAGAAAGGUAUGUAUCCCCUCAAAAGAGCAAAAGUAGAAUUAGACUUUCACCAUUAUUUUCACCACUAUCACCAUCAUCACCAUACACCAUUCAUCCGCCACACAUGCACAUCUUGGUUUGAAUUAUUGACUUGUUUCUCUGGAUCCAUGGUUUGACUAUGCAAUAAAUGUCUUGUAAGUAUGUAUUAGCUGUCUCCCACCUAUGAGCUCCAGAUAUCAAACCUUAUUAGAGUAGGGUGAGAGAGAAGGCAAUAUCACUAUGCCUCAUACCACAAAUACUACAUACUUUAAGAGAAGGCGUAUAUUAUCACUGCCUUGGUAAGGAUCCAGAAAUACCACAAAAGAGAGACUAGAGAGAGUCAUACAAGGAAUCUCUAAGUUUUAUUUGAAAAUCUGCAAAAACUCCAGAGCUAUAGUUGAUCAAAGAACAAGAGACAUGGUGCUUGACUUGACCGUUCUAUCUUUUAACUGCUCAAGACACAAGUGACUGUUGCAAGCCCCAUCGUGAAAGGUAAUAUGAGUAAGUUUUAAAUCUUAACAAUUUACCCUAACCUAGAGAUGUGAUCUUGUUUAAAUGCAUGUGUACCUUUAACGCAUAAAACCACUGUAGAAACUCUUGAGUCCAUCCUUGCUCAGUGACGAGCAAGAGGUAAGCUUGGGGGAGUUGUUGACGGUCCUUAAGUACCAAAUAUAAUCAGCAAAUAAACAAAGAAAAGGACCCAAAUACAACCAACAUCUAAACUUAGGGUUUUAUCUGACAGAAUUCCACGAGUUUUGGUGUUUGUCUAUUUCUGCAGGGGUUAUCAGGAAAUAUGGAGAGAAGGCCCACACGUCGGGUUUACAUAGAGAUAUUAACGUGCCGCGCAAUUUUCUAUCAUCUAGAAGACUCCAGAAGCCACGGGAACGAACGGGAGGCCGAGCGGGCUCGGGGGCAUGGCGCCCGCCCACCCCCCUUGGGCGCCCGCCCAGCUAUAGAGUCCAAUCAGGACUCUCUUCGCGGAUUACACUCCACCGACCUAACGGAUCAAGAAUAACCGUUCAAUCAAUGUCGGUUUGAUCUGACGGCCUAGAUUCACUUGAGGGGACUAUAUAAGCAGACCCCCUGGCCCCUGGAGGAGACACCCCUUGAUCAUUAUUCAUUAUUUAUGGACAGAGCAAAAGCUAGGGUUUAGAGAUGAGAGCUCUCCUCUCUUCUCUAAACUAGAGUAGAUCUAGAUAGUAGCAAGAUGGAGAGCGAAGGAGGAUUAGAGGAGAGGCCGACCUGUCAGUUCUUCCUCCGGUUGUACUUCGCCAUGAUCAAGCUCUAAUCAAGCUUGCUCAUGGGAUGACUCUGGUAAUCUACUUCUAAUUCAUUAUGCAAUUACUAAUCAUGUAUGUUCUGGUUCACAACUCUUUUGAGUACUUCUAAUCUAUAGGACCCUAUAGGUUAGAUUGUAGUUUAGGUGUAAGCGUGGUGCUUAGACCUAGAUUACUUGUGGAUAUCCCCUGUCUAGCUGGAUCGUGUGGUAGGCCGCGUAGGUGACAGUUACGUUGGUCCUCUGUAGUGCACCUCUCGUUAGCAGGACGGGUAGGGUUUAUCGGCCUAUGGAUAAGCAUCCUUUGUGGUGUACUCUUAUCACGUGGUUCGUCCCAGACAUAGACAUACCCCUUUGAAGUAGAGAAAUCAUAGUUAUCCUCUCUAUUCUGCUACCAUCGCCCAUAUACUAGAUUGCUCUACUCUCUACUCCCAUUGUUAUCUUACCUUUAAUAUUGUUCUUAUUCAAUUCUACCAUAUUUCCUAUUUACACUUAUCUAUUUAUCUUGGUUAAGUUAGAGCGUAGUUGGUUCUCCCGUUUCCCUGUGGAUACGAUAAAACCUUUAACCGGGUAAAAGCUGCAACAGUAUCCGUGCGCUUGCGGAUUAUCUGUGUGCUUAUAAAUACCAUAGUACACUCUAGUGCCAUGUUGGGGAUGACAACCUAGUAUUCAAGUGGUGUUAGCAAGUGUCAACAACAGCAAGCGCCGUCUCCACCUCAGCCGCAAGAAGCACCUUGGCCAGAAGAGAUGUCAGCCGAUGUACUUGAGGAGACUGCCGAUCCAGUGGGAUCAAUCAUAUCAUCGGUAGUCUCUUCAAUCUAGACAAGCACUGCACCCCCUCAAGGUAAGGUUCUGUCCAUAAGAUUAUUUGCCGAUGGAUUUUUUUUAACUUAUAACUCAUUAUUAUUAUAUAAUUUCUAGCUGACAUCAUUCCAUCGGCAACUCCAGCCGGUCAACCUGUGGUACCAUCAGCCUCAGCUAGCUAGAGGCGAGAAAUCGCCCUAAAACAAGUAAGUCAUCUGAUCUCUAUUUUUAUCAUCACUAGUACUUGAUCAUCAAAUAACUUAUUUUAUUUUCUUUUCUAGGAACAAGACUCCCCGGACAGCUUGUUCUCUUUUGCUAUUGAAAUUUCUGAUGACGAAGGCGAGGAAGCAAGCUCUUCUCAAGCAGUAGGGAUUUCAUCGGCAGAAAUCAGAGCUAAACUGGAGGAUCUGCUGGCCCUGCUUCAUCAGGAUACAACUCAAUUAGUCGACAACUCUGAUCCAGCAAAAGCUCUAUUCAAAGCUCUCAGAGGUCAAAUUCCUGCCGAUGCCGAAGAGACUCUUUUUCAGGCUGCACACUUAGAGAGCCGCCAGCUUCAGUAUCAAAAAGCUACCCAACGUUUUGCUUAUAGAGCCACUCAUGCCCACCUCUCGGAGGAGGUAAUGAAAGUGAAGCACCUUGCCGAUGAGAAACACAAGAGCAUCGGCAUUCUAAAAUCCUCAGGAGAGACGCUGAGACAAAAGAUUUCUGACCUAUCGGCAAGAAGGGAAACCCUGUUGGCCGAGCUUAAGCAAGUAGAAGAGGCUCUUUUCCAAGCUCAGCAAGAAGAGAAUCAGCUACCCGAAAUGAUAAAGACUCUCAAACAGGAGCGGAACAUUCAAGCCCGCAAGGCACUGCAGAUGAAGAAGAAGCUGAAGCCAGUGGAAGGUUCUGCCGAUGAAGACAUCAAGGAGAUAAAAGAAGCCGACCAAAUUCGCCUGCGCGCCAUAUCGGCGAUUCAAGCUUGACUGAAUGUAUAAGCUCUUCAUCGGCGGCGUGUUUUGCUCUUCCUUCAGAAACUUCUAAUUAUUUUGGUCUAGCCGAUAGGAUUGUUAUCGGCAUCCCUUUUAAAACAUCGUAUUUAGUCCCAGAUACAUUUUAAUCUGGCCGAUAGGAGUGUUAUCGGCACUUAAACUUUUAUGCAUCGACCCAUAUGCUUGGGUAAUACUUUUUAAAUAUUUUCCAUUCAAUGCUCUAGGAAGUUCAACUCCUUCGAGAGUUUCCAAAAUAUAGGCAUUACCAGGAGCAGACCGAUUUAUCUGAUAAGGACCUUCCCAAUUGGAAGACCACUUGCCAAACUUUGAACUUUUAGUCCCAAUCGAUAAUAUUAGUUUCCAUACCAAAUCUCCAUCGGCAAACUCCUUAGCCUUUACUUUUUUAUCAUACCACUUAGCAACUCUCUUUUUAUUUUCUUCUAUACUUAUCAAAGCUUUAAGCCGAUGCCCUGCUAAAUCAUCUAACUCAUCUUUCAUCAAAGUAGCAUAGUCAUCGGCAUUCAACUGAUCCUGGAAAGAUAGUCGCCUAGACCCAGUCUUAAUUUCCCAUGGUAGUACUGCAUCGUGCCCAUACACCAACUGAUAAGGUGAAACUUUGGUCGACCCAUGACUAGCCAUCCGAUAUGACUGUUGACGGUCCUUAAGUAUCAAAUAUAAUCAUCAAAUAAACAAAGAAAAGGAUCCAAAUAAAAUCAACAUCUAGACUUAGGGUUUUAUCUGACAGAAUUCUACGAGUUUUGGUGUUUGUCUAUUUCUACAGGGGGUUAUCAGGAAAUAAGGAAGAAAGGCCCACACGUCGGGAUUACAUAGAGAUAUUAAUGUGCCGCACAAUUUUCUAUCAUCUAGAAGACUCCAGAAGCCACGGGAACGAACGAGAAGGCAAACGGGCUCGGGGGCAGGGCGCCCGCCCACCCCCCUUGGGCGCCCGCCCAGGUGUUUCCACCAAUCACAGAAUGGAGUACACCAUUGCAAAGAUCUCGUCGAGCUGAUCGAAAUGCAUAUAUUACUUGCUAUAUUUGGAGUUCGGAAUCAAAAGAUAUUAAUAAAAGAAGGACUCCACAUAAAAGAGCUGCGGGAUUAAUUGGGCCCAAAUCAGAUUUUGGUCCAUUAAGGCCUAUGUGCAUUUUAAUAAGAUAUGGUGGAAAGUUUAGUACCACAUCGCCUGCUGAACCAAGAACGCAUAGAGGAGGAGGACUAUAUAAGGAGACCCCCUGGCCCCUGGAGAAGACAAGAAAUUAUCAUAGAGAUUGAGGAGUGCCCUCGAAGGAAAACCUCUUCUCUAAUUAAUAUUUCUUUUUAGGCUUAGCAACCAAUGUAAGGUAGAAAUAGAUCUUCUAGUUUCUACUAGAUUGAGAGAGAUAGAGUGGAGGUGUGGAUCGGAGGAAGGCCGGCCUGUCGGUGUCUACUCCGAGUUGUACCUGCGGGAUCAAGUCUCCUAACCCGAGGCUUGCUUCUAAGAUUCUUCAGUAAUUCGACUUCUAAUACUAGUAAGUUCUUGUUUUAUUGUUCUUUGGUUUAUGAGUUUACUUUAAUCCUCUUCCGGUUGAGUAUUAGAGUAAUCACUUGUUAGCGUAAACGUGGUGUUUAGGCUAGGGUACUCAUAAAUAUCCCCUGACUAGCUAGACCGUGGUAGUAGCGAGGAACGUGACAUUUCCGAGUUACCUUUGUAGAUCACAUCUCGUUAGCAGGACGGGUAGGUUUAUAAGUGCGGGUCGAACAUCCUUUGUGUUGUCUAGAUUCCGUGAGCCUCCCCAAUAGAACAGUAGAUCAUCCUUACCAAGGUUAGAACGAGACUAAGGUUGCAGUCUUCUCUAUACAUCACUCACAUCGAGAGACAUUCUUUGUAGCCUAAAGGGAUAGUAGCAAUAGAUUUGGUUAGUCAGAUGCACCCUUUCUCCCAGUGGUAAAAAUAUAAAUACGAUAACUCUGGAUAACCUCCCGGGUGAAAUGCUCACCGAUAUCCGUGCGCUUGCGGAUCAUUUUCUAAUUGCGUUACCAAAUAUCAACAAGCAUUUCUGGCGCCGUUGCCGGGGAGAAAGACGGUUUGCUGAGAUACCUUUGAGUCUUGCUGUUAUCCUAUAUUAUACUUUUAUACUUUUAUUAUUUUAUCUUUUUAUUUUUAUCUUUAUGGAUAACCUAAAUUCCAUACCUAUAUUAAAUUCUUUGCACCUUCGGAGACCAGCCAUAGACCAUGGGAGUCAACACGUCCUGCCCCUAAUUAUGAUCUGUGUCCGGAGUUGAUUGCAAUAGGUCAAAACCAACCCUUUUCUAUAGCCGAGGUCCUAUCUUUUAAUCAAGAAGAUAAUGCACUUUUAGCUACACCUAGGGAAUCUAUUAAUCUUUCUAUACAUUUUGGUUUAGACCUAGCCCAACAAGACCAUGAUUUUUCUCGAUAUUUUUACAUUGGUCUUAAUCAUAUAACCAUUGGUAGAGUCUUUCUUUCUUUAUCUAUUAGUAAAGGAAGGUAUGUCUUCAUUUGUGGACAUCCUUCUCGUACUAGUCUUCAUAGAAAAAUCUUAGAGAUAGAGAAGGAAUCAUCUCCCAUACAAGGAGAGGAAGUUUCAAUAGCUGAUUUCCAAACAUUUCAAUCCCAUGAUUCGGCUAUCCAACCCAUCCUUAAGCUUAAUAAAUUCUACUAUGCUCUUUCUCUUGAACCUCCUGAUAAUCCUAUGAAUCUCUCUAGACAUACCAUGCAUAAGAAGGAGGAUCGAGAACAGCAACAUCAAUGGCUAAAGGGCAUUAAAAAUCCAUGUGCUAUCACCAUUGAAUGGAUAGAUAAAACAAACUUGAGAGACAAUCCUAGAGGAAUUUUAAGCAUUCAUGAAGAAUCAUCCUUGGUGUUUGAGAAUGAGAGAAACAACAGUGAGCAUGAAAGUUAUUUCAUAAAUACCUUACCAAGUCCUUGCUCUUAUAAAACAUCUCCCCAAUCAAUUGGUCUUUCCAUCCUUACCACAUUUGGGAUCUCCAACCCCCUCUUCCUUUCUAUUUAUAAAAACUUUAAAAGGGCGGUUGUCGAUGCAUAUGUCUAUAAUAAAUAUUGCAGAUCUCGUUGAGUUGAUCUUGAUAUAGGUAGAUGUUGGAGGGGAAACCACUUCACCAACAUAACUUGAUGGUUUCCCAAGGAUAAGCUUAGCGUCCUUAAACAAGCACUUAUCAGAUCGUAACAUGAACUUUUAAUUAUUUGCAACACUGCCUUGUGUAUUGAGCAUAUUGAGAUAAUUGUAGAAAUAUUCCUUCGGGUAUUCCUGCCACUAACCUUUCUAGGAUUGGAGCAAGAAGAUCGGAUGAAUGACAAGCACAAGGUAUGUGCAACCAACCAUCAUACAACAUUGAAUUAAAUUCAUCCAAACUUGAAUUUUGCAAAAUUCAAGCUUGGGGGAGUACUUUACAUAAAAACAUCCUUUGCCAUGUUGCUAUGUUGGUUGUCCCUACCUUUGAAACAUGCUUGAUUUGUUAAAUACUAGUCACACUACUUCAUCUCCAUUUGAGUAGAUCUCUAUAAAUGCCAUCAUGCUACCUAUGUUUAUCUUAAGUAAGUGUUGGUUUGGAAGUACUGGACAUACUUCCAUUGGCAUUUAAAUUAAGCGUGGUGCUUAGGUUAAAUAGCCUUCCUUAAUCUGAUUAGACAUGGAGUCUAGUUUGGUUAUUGAACUAAAAACUGCUUGUGUAGACAUUGGUAUAUUUUUUCGGACUAACCCCUGCAGAAAAACAUUCAAUAUCAAUUUGGGAAGUCCUGAGAUACAAACUCACAUUGGAGAUAAAAUUUAAUGACUUGCACAAGGAAGACAUAGCUCACUCAUCAUAAAGAGAUGAUUCAUGGAGGGUGCCACAAACAUGAUGCACAACCACUAAGAAAGGAAAGCUUCCACAAGGUGAUACUAUACCAGCACUCCUCAAUAACAUCUUAAAGUACUUGAUUAUCACUUUUAUAAGUUCUCCUUGGUUCUAGCAUUCACAAAUAAAGAGACAAACAUGUAUGAUCUGUAACUCCAAAUUAACCAACUCAAUUAAUUCAACAUGUUUAGUCCUUUAAUCUUUGUUCUUAGUACUACCUUCAUGACCCCACACUCCUAAUCAUAUAAGCUAAAGUAUUGCACAUUCAAUCUUUGGAAGAUAUAAACAAAACAUAAAUAUAGAUAGAUUAUCUUUCCAUUAGGUUGAGCCAUCUGAUCUAACAAAUGUUUUAAAUGUUACACUCAUGAUCCAUCAACUUUGUCUUGCUCACUAUGCUUAAGGUUAGAGAAGAACAAAUACACUUUUGGUUCUGUUGGUGUUUUCCACCAACAGGGCCCAUGCACUUGAUCUCUGCCUUGUCUCUAUGAAUAGGUACACUUCAAACAAAACAUGGAGGAGUUUUACAUCUCCCAGAUUUCACCAAGUGAAGAACCGGGAUCUACGAGCACAAACACAAUGGAGAUCAGACACUUAGUUUCCCAAAGGAAAUAUUGAAGAACCUCUGUGUCCGAGUUGGUACCUUGUACGCUCCAGCAAACUUCGUGGUGAUAGAGACUGGUACUGAGGAGAGGGCACCCAUCAUCUUAGGGAGGCCAUUCCUAAACACCAGAGCUGUCAUCUACGCUAAUGCUGCCCAGAUCAGUCUCUACAUCAAGGGGAAGAAGGAGACUUUCCUUCAAGAACAAGAUUACACAAGCUUCAGAGCAAUCCCGACAUGAACCAAGGAAGAGGACCAACAGGAGGAACAGGAACAAGUAAAUGUGGACCGAGUCAGCUAAGAUGGUCACUGCAGCUCAAGGAGGUCAAGAUCGUCGACUCAAGUCACCUUUCUUGAUCAAGAAGGACGACCCUGGUGUUCCAAGAAUCGAAUGCACAAUCAACAGAUACUAUUUUUAGAAGACACUCUACGACACCGGACCUGACGUCAACAUAAUGGCUGCAGUCACUUAUCAGCUCCUGCAUGGAACCAUGCUCCUACAACCAACAUACAUUCAGCUCCAGAAAAUUUUCAGGUCAUUGACAUGGGAGAAGACGAGUAUGAUCCACCUACCAUCCUUGGAAGACCGUUCCUCAAAUACUAUCAAAGCCAUCAUCUAUAUUGGAACCGGAGAAGUCCACAUGCACUUCCCCUCUAAGAAGGCUAGGACAAGACAACACAACCGCAACCAGAGGAGGCAAAUCAUCAAGGACGGAUGGGUAGACUACGAAGGAGAAGUGAUAAGGACUGAAGACAUACAACUUGAACAGAACUGUUCUGAGGAGACCAUAGCACCGACUCAGGUGUGGAGAGAGAAGAUAGUUAUACACGAAGAGGAGGCGCCGCCGGAACCACCGACUACGCCAUCCAACAAAUCCCAGGACGACUGAGAAACGGAGAGUCCCGUUCGGAGGACUUAAAAACAUCGAACGCCUUGCCAAGAGGUAAACUUGGUAGUUAUCUUUUUCCUUUCAAUUAUUCAAUUGUAGUUUGCUUAGUUAAUCAGGUUCAUAUCAUCUCGAAAAGAAACUAAAAAAUGUUAAAAAUAGUAAGCCCCAUGUGAGUAUGCUCAUGGCAUAAAACCCAUAAGUACAUUCACUGUGGUGGCAUAAAAAUAAAAUAAAUAAGUUUUCAUCUUACAAUAAAAAUAUAAAAAUAAUAAGUGCAUGAUCCUGCUAAAUAAGUAAUAUUUAUUGAGGAGGCUCAACAUGAUAAAGGCUAGAUAUUUAUGCUAACACUUAACUAGUUCCACAAAGCUUUAUUGUCUAUUUGAGCUCCACAGAAUUCAAGGAUCAAAGAAGACUAGUAGACGGAGGACAUCCUAAUCGCUGUCAGGGUGCUGCCGACUUUCAAAUACACCUCCACUACCUGCUAGCUACAUUAGAAAAAAUUACGUCAAAAUCCAGCUUGGGGGAGAGCACCCCCAUUUAUCCAGCUAAGUGUUUCUACUCGCGUUUAUACUUUACUCAAAUAAUAAAAGAUGCAUAAUCAUGAAAACCCAAAUAAAGAUUUUGUGCUUUUAUAUAUUUUUGCUUAGUUUGCUAAAUAAAUAAAUAAAUAAAGUUUGCUAUGAACCCUCAUGAUAAACUCUCACAUGGAAAUGAUGAAUAGUUGCUCUGCCAUGACUACUUCUUAAAAUUGAAAUCUCUCUCAAGUUUAGGCAUGACUGUUAUGAAGUAAGAUUUGCUCUAAACCUGAACUUGUGGGAAGAGUACUUGAUCUAAAGUCUAAGUCGUUAACGGAUAUGAUAUGGGAAGGUUGAGCUGCUGUUUAUCUGUUCCUAGAGAUGCUAGAAUUCUGGAGAAUUCUAUCUUUGAAAAAUCUUUAAAAUAACACAUGAUGAGUUCCUAUAUGAUGAGAGUUUAAAAUCCUACCACAGCCAUAUAGACAUGCUUAUUAGACUUUGAGCCACACAUUUACUUUUUACUGCUUAUGAGCAUUGAGUGUGGUCAAGCUGUGUAGACCCUUAGGAGCUUGUCAUGUGGUUAAAAUCAAGAUUCACUUGCACGUUCACUUAUACAUGCUACUUCUACUCCGGAAGUACCAUCCACAUACAUCCACUCAUUUCCAUCUCCAGAUUCAUCCAAAAUUAUUCUACUCCUAAUCCGGGAGAGAAUAGCCAAAAACAUUUUCCUAUCCCUGUUAUUCCCUGUGAAAUAAAUGCUCCAGUUAUUUUGGUUACUACCACUUGCUACAUUAUUUCAGGAGAUGAGUGCUCUAAAAAAAAGAAGAGAAAAAAAGAGAAAAAAAAGAAUAAUACGAGGAAAUAAAAAGGGGCAAGUGGCCGGAACCUCAAAGAAAAGAAAAAGUGAGACGAGAGGUAAAAAUGGACAAGUGUCGGACAGUAGAAUUAGGGGUACAAGAUACCCACCUGAGAGGAAAGAAAAAGAAAAUAUAGAGCAUCUCAUUCUCCCCAAAAAGCUUCAAAGUGCAAGAAAGGUAUGUAUCCCCUUCAAAGAGCAAAAGUAGAAUUAGACUUUCACCAUUGUUAUCACCAUACACCAUUCAUUCGCCACACAUGCACAUCUUGAUUUGACUUAUUGACUUGUUUCUCUGGAUCCAUGGUUUGACUAUGCAAUAAAUGUCUUGUAAGUAUGUAUGCUUUAUCUCCCACCUAUGAGCUACAGAUAUCAAAACCUUAUUAGAGUAGGGUGAGAGAGAAGGCAAUAUCACUAUGCCUCAUACCAAAAAUACCACAUAAAUUGAGAGAAGGCAUAUACCAUUACUGCCUUGGAAAGGAUCCAGAAAUACCACAAAAGAGAGAUUUUAGAGAGUCAUACAAGGAAUCUCUGAGUUUUAUUUGAAAAUAUACAAAAACUCCAAAGCUAUAGUUAAUCAAAGAAUAAGAGACAUGGCGCUUGACUUGACCGUUCUAUCUUUUAACUACUAAAGACACAAGUGACGGUUGCAAGCCCCAUGGUGAAAGGAAAAAUGAGUAAGUUUUAAGUCUUAACAGUUUACUCUAACUCAAAGAAGAGAUCUUGCUUGAAUGCAUGUGUACUUUUAAGGCAUGAAACCACUGCAGAAACUCUUGAGUCCAUCCUUGCUCAGGGACGAGCAAGAGGUAAGCUUGGGGGAGUUGUUGACGGUACUUAAGUACCAAAUUUAAUCAUCAAAUAAAUAAUGAAAAGGAUCCAAAUGCAACCAACACCCAGACUUAGGGUGUUAUGUGAUAGAAUUCCACAAGUUUUGGUGUUUGUCUAUUUCUGCAGGGGGUUAUCAAGAAAUAUCAAGAAAAGGCCCACACGUCGGGUUUACAUAGAGAUAUUAACGUGCCGCACAAUUUUCUAUCAUCUAGAAGACUCCAGAAGCCACUGGAACAAACGGCAGGCCGAGCGGGCCUAGGGGAAGGGCGCCCGCCCUCCCCCCUUGGGCGCCCGCCCAGGUGUCUCAACCAAUCACGUUCAACCUCACGGAUUAUGCUCCACUGACCUAAGAGAUCAAGGAAAACCGUGCGAUUAAGGUCGGUUUGAUCCGACAGCCCAGAUUCACUUGAGGGGACUAUAUAAGCAGGCCCCCUAGCCCCUGGAGAGACAAUCCUCAUUAUUCAUUAGCAUAUUUUCUAGAGAGGAUUCAGAGAGAGAGGUUCUGUGGGGUUAU